GGCAACAGUCGCCGCUGCCCCACCUUGUCAUGCCGUUCACGGAGGCGAGGCGACCACCGCCACCGUAGGGCCCAGCGUCGCCUCCCACCUGCGCCGCCCUGCGCCGCUGCCACGUAGGCGACCGCCGCCGCCCACCUGCGUUCAAGGAGGCGAGGCGACCACCGCCACCGCAGAAGUUGAAUACAGGUCAGCAUGGAUUGAAAGCUCAAGCGAUCGAAGAGCGUUCCUAAGCUCAAGAACGGAUCGCCGACGAGUCCGACUAAAGGUAAUUCAUUUGGUUGUCCACUUCCCUCUACUCUAUUCAUUAAGAGACAUGUUUUUUCCUUGGACUCAACGUGUGUAGGAUUCUCCCUUCAUUUGCUUUGAGAUUUACAGAAAACUGUUAUGUAUAGAAAAAGGCAAAGAAAAACAAGAAUAAAGUAAAAAGAAACAUGCUAAUCAAGUAUUUUUUGUUCAGCUUCACCUAAGAGCCUAAAGUGGCAUGACGGGCACCAAACUAAACAAGAAUAAAGUUAAAACUCAAUUAUUUUCUGCCAACAAGAGAUUCUUGGAUGAUGCACUGAACUAUCUCUGAAUAUUUAUGCGCGAAUCAAAUACAUAAUAACAUGUAUAUUUCCGGUUGUAGAACUCCAUAACUACAUAUAUUGAGAUUGAUAACUUCACAUUAUAAAAGCAACACUAAGAUGCUGGUACCCAGAAACAUUAAUAUUGCUGGUUACCAUCGUUUUGGAAAACACUUGACGCAUUGAGGAGACGCCCUUUUUCGAAAACAGAAACGACCAUUAGGAAAACAUUCAGAAUAACCCCUGUACCCAGGCAAAUAGAUCAAAACUGAAAUUUGAUAUGAAUUGGGUGUGCUUUCUAAGAUUUGUUUAAAUCGGGUUUAUAUUCUGUGAACUCCAUUUUAAUUUUAGUGAUUUUACACCCUUGCAUUUGGAUCCGAGAUUCUAUAUGAAUAUAUUUUUAGCAAAUUACGUGUCGAAUUUCUGGUUACUAUGGCAUCUGCAUUAUUUUCUGCCAACAAGAAAUAAAUUAUGUUAUAUGUGUCGUCUUAAUUAUUGUAGUUUCCAAAUGCAAUGCACCAUGAUAUUCAUGGACUCUAGGUUCAGUGGUGCUGGCUUAGCUUGCAUCCUCCUGGUCAACGUGUUAUCUUUCUUCCUGUUUUUUGACUCUCAAGAGUAGUUAGAUAGAAAUACACAAAAUAAUCCUUGUUAAGGGCAGCAUGCCAAAGAUCUAUUUAAUCCCCUAGAUUCAAACAUAUGUCACCAUUUGACCCAACAGGAGUAGUUUUAAAAGCAAAAUAUUCUCUUAGUAAAAUAAUAUAUAAUCUGUGUGUGUAUCUUACCCACUUGAUUAUUGAGUACCGUCGUUUGUGUGUCCAUUCAAUUUCUCAUAUGAAGCUACUGAAUCUGACAAUUCCUUUUAUUUUACAACGCUAUUGCUUAUUUUUCCUAUCAAAAAUAAACUAGAGUGAAUUAACGAUUUGUGUUUCUUUAGAUGUUCUCGGUUGGGUGUCCUCUCUACUACUGAAGUUUUACCACCAUCUGGUGGUGUUUGAGAGCACAGACGUCAUACUUUCAUCAGCAACGGCCAAAUCCCCAGCGCCGCCGAUGAUGUACACCCCUGUACCCCUUGACCAUACCCCUUGACAUCCAGUACCUCGCGUCUGCUCAACUUGAACACCUCCUCAGUACGUACAUCUCUGAAUUUUGCCCUUGCUUGAGAAGGCCGAGCAUUGUUUUGUUGUAGCUAUAAUUUGAGUUUAGAAGAUAUACUCCUCUCUUUUUGACGUCAAUUUUUUCAGUUGAUUUUGCUCGAGGAUGGUGCCCUUUAUGUGCAUGAACUGAUGGGUGUGUUCACAACGUAGAGCAGUGCUUCUUUGUCCAGUCUCAUGUCUUUCUCUUCAGCACGGAUCAGUGAGUACUACCGAGCAAAAAUGUCCUUAUCUUCGUUUGUUUCUUCCUUUUCCUUACUACUUUUGUGGCCCCAAAUCUCACGAUGGCUCUAUGCAUGUUCUUUUUGUUGACAUGAAUUUUACCAUGAAAAUUUCCUACUGAUCUACAAUGUUCUGCUAUCUAAAUUUGUAUGUAUAUUGUGAAUGAGUAGACACUGGUGCAGAAACCCAAUUGGAUGAAAAUACUGACUACAGAGAGGUGUAAUUAUUAAUUAUUUUCUUGCCUUAAAA